GAAAUGUGUAUUGUGAAUGAAAGGUGAAAAGAAUUCCGAAAGGUAGGUGAAAACAGUCG
rnacentral:rRNA from 14 species